GAUGAAGAACGUAGCGAAAUGCGAUACUUGGUGUGAAUUGCAGAAUCCCGUGAACCAUCGAGUCUUUGAACGCAAGUUGCGCCCGAAGCCAUUAGGCCGAGGGCACGCCUGCCUGGGCGUCACACGUCGUUGCCCCCCCAUCUACUCCUACGGGAUUGCGGGGGGCGGAUGAUGGCCUCCCGUGCGCCUCGUCGCGCGGUUGGCAUAAAUGCCAAGUCCUCGGCGACGCACGCCACGACAAUCGGUGGUUGCGAAACCUCGGUUGCCCGUCGUGUGCGGUCGUCGCGCAUCGAGGGCUCGAAAAAAUUGCCGGGCUCCGGCUCGGCUUUCAACGCGACCCCAGGUCAGGCGGGGUUACCCGCUGAAUUUAAGCAUAUCAAUAAGCGGAGGA
rnacentral:misc_RNA from 1 species